rnacentral:rRNA from 1 species
UACGAAGGGGGCUAGCGUUGCUCGGAAUCACUGGGCGUAAAGCGCACGUAGGCGGAUUGCUAAGUCAGGGGUGAAAUCCUGGAGCUCAACUCCAGAACUGCCUUUGAUACUGGCGAUCUCGAGUUCGGGAGAGGUGAGUGGAACUGCGAGUGUAGAGGUGAAAUUCGUAGAUAUUCGCAAGAACACCAGUGGCGAAGGCGGCUCACUGGCCCGGUACUGACGCUGAGGCGCGAAAGCGUGGGGAGCAAACAGG